GCGGCGGGAUCAGGAAGGACACUGGGAGGGAGGCAAGACGGUGAUAAAUCCCUGUAGGGCGAUUCGGAGGGUACAGAACAGGCUCUGCUGAGGUCCUCUACUCUUCACCUCUCGCCGCCCUCCUCACCCAACCCCCUCCCCCCACCGCGCCCCGCCGGAGUUCCAGCAUCCUUGCAACCAGUUGAAUCAAAUCCCAGCUUAGGAGCCCGGGGAACGGAAUUGGUUUCUGAAUGUGAAAUAGGUCUGACCCACUGGGGAAGCCCAGAGAGGAACGUCCGGAGGGCCUUUACCCGAGCUGGGUGGGAGGCGAACGGGUCCCGCGCGCGAGCUGGCGGCAGGCAGCAAGGCGCAGAGGCCGAGCCCCCGAGCCCCAGAUCUCCGCUCGGGGCCCCGCGGCCUGCUCGGUCGUUGCCCCUCCGGCGCCGGGCGGGUGAUUGGCAGUUGCCGCAGCUUUAGGGGAACGCGGGUAUCCAGGACCCGCGGCCGCUGCUGGUUGUCCGCUCGCUGGCAGCGACGUUCCCGCGGCUCCGUGACCGGGCCUCGGCGGGAGCAGCCACGACGGCGGCGACCUCGGGUGGGAGCCCGGGAGGCUCGCGGAAUCUUGCGAUAAUUCUGCCGCCACGACUUGAACCGUGUGCGACGCGAGCUUGAAACAAGCAUCACAUCUAAAUUUAAAAAAAAAAAAAAAAAAAAAAAAAAG